rnacentral:lncRNA from 1 species
GUCGACCGAGUCUAGGGAGUUGGAGGUAAGGGGAUAGAUGUGUGUCCCACACAGACAAGCAAUACAUGCAUCACAUAAAAGAAUAACAGACAUGCAAAUAACAGGUAUAUCACUCAUGUCUACACACAAGCUAGGCAAGAAUAUGAUAAGCAAGAUAGGAAUAUAAUAAGAAUAGACAAUAUGUCGAGAUAAACAAGAUAAUAUACAACAAGUAGAAUCAAUCAUGUCAAGAUGAAUGAG